GGAUGUGAGGGUGAUCUGGAUGUGAUAUCUAUCAUCCCAUUGAUUGCCAGGGUUGAUAUGACUGGCUAGGUGGGCGUCCUCAUCCUCCCUCACCAUUCCACGUGUGUCCCUCCUGAAGUUGUGUGCUCAGUAGAAGAGGGUGACUAUCCCAGAUGGGAGUUGUUCUUUGAUCAGGUAUAUGAUAGCUGCUCUGGCCUGCUGGAACCUCCGAGCAAUCUCAAUCAAUAAAGAUUAACAAUUUGUUACUAGUGCCUUAUUGGCCUUGAGU
rnacentral:snRNA from 1 species